rnacentral:rRNA from 1 species
UACGGAGGGAGCUAGCGUUGUUCGGAUAUACUGGGCGUAAAGCGCAUGUAGGCGGCGCCGUAAGUCAGGUGUGAAAUCCCGGAGCUCAACUCCGGAACUGCCCUUGAAACUGCAGUGCUAGAAUCUUGGAGAGGCGAGUGGAAUUCCGAGUGUAGAGGUGAAAUUCGUAGAUAUUCGGAAGAACACCAGUGGCGAAAGCGACUCGCUGGACAAGUAUUGACGCUGAGGUGCGAAAGCGUGGGGAGCAAACAGG